rnacentral:rRNA from 1 species
CCUACGGGAGGCAGCAGUGGGGAAUAUUGGACAAUGGGGGGAACCCUGGUCCAGCGACGCCGCGUGAGUGAAGAAGUAUUUCGGUAUGUAAAGCUCUAUCAGCAGGGAAGAAAGAAAUGACGGUACCUGACUAAGAAGCCCCGGCUAACUACGUGCCAGCAGCCGCGGUAAUACGUAGGGGGCAAGCGUUAUCCGGAUUUACUGGGUGUAAAGGGAGCGUAGACGGCGAUGCAAGUCUGAAGUGAAAGGCGGGGGCCCAACCCCCGGACUGCUUUGGAAACUGUAUGGCUGGAGUGCAGGAGAGGUAAGUGGAAUUCCUAGUGUAGCGGUGAAAUGCGUAGAUAUUAGGAGGAACACCAGUGGCGAAGGCGGCUUACUGGACUGUAACUGACGUUGAGGCUCGAAAGCGUGGGGAGCAAACAGGAUUAGAUACCCGAGUAGUC